rnacentral:tRNA from 1 species
GCGCCCGUAGCUCAAUGGAUAGAGUACUGCCCUCCGAAGGCAGGGGUUGCUGGUUCGAUCCCAGCCGGGCACACCA